rnacentral:rRNA from 1 species
UACGGAGGAUGCAAGCGUUAUCCGGAUUCAUUGGGUUUAAAGGGUGCGCAGGCGGGGGAAUAAGUCAGUGGUGAAAAGCUGCCGCUCAACGGUAGUCUUGCCAAUGAUACUGUUUUUCUUGAGUAUGGUUAAGGUAGGUGGAAUGUGCAGUGUAGCGGUGAAAUGCAUAGAGAUUGCACAGAAGGCCGAUUGCGCAGGCAGCUUACUAAACCACUACUGACGCUCAUGCACGAAGGCGUGGGGAUCAAACA